rnacentral:misc_RNA from 1 species
AAGUCGUAACAAGGUUUCCGUAGGUGAACCUGCGGAAGGAUCAUUAUCGAACCUUUUGGAAGUGGGACUGAUGCUGGUCCUCUCGGACAUGUGCUCGUCUCGCUUUUCCUCCUUUCCACACCAUGUGAACUUCCAAGGUAGCGUGUCCCUCCCCUCAUGGGGGAGCCGCUGGAUGAUCCCCGCUGCGGGUGAGCGUCGAGCUGGGGGCGCGCGACCUUGUUUCCAACAACACCAUAAAGAAGUUUGUAGAAAUCAUGAUAACUGCCCGAGUGGCAAAUUACAACUUUCAACAACGGAUCUCUUGGCUCUC